rnacentral:rRNA from 1 species
GAUGAACGCUGGCGGCGUGCUUAACACGUGCAAGUCGAACGAAGCACCUCUCCCGAAGCUUGACACAGCUUGCUGUAGAUUGAUUCAUUUGAGGUGACUGAGUGGCGGACGGGUGAGUAACGCGUGGGUAACCUGCCUCAUAGAGGGGGACAACAGUUGGAAACGACUGCUAAUACCGCAUAGUAAGAAGAAUUCGCAUGUUUUCUUCUUGAAAGAUUUAUCGCUAUGAGAUGGACCCGCGUCUGAUUAGCUAGUUGGUAAGGUAACGGCUUACCAAGGCGACGAUCAGUAGCCGGCUUGAGAGAGUGAACGGCCACAUUGGGACUGAGACACGGCCCAAACUCCUACGGGAGGCAGCAGUGGGGAAUAUUGCACAAUGGGGGAAACCCUGAUGCAGCGACGCCGCGUGAGUGAAGAAGUAUUUCGGUAUGUAAAGCUCUAUCAGCAGGGAAGAUAAUGACGGUACCUGACUAAGAAGCCCCGGCUAACUACGUG